rfam:Pan troglodytes isolate Yerkes chimp pedigree #C0471 (Clint) chromosome 1, whole genome shotgun sequence.
GGUUCCAUGGUGUAAUGAUGAGGGCUUUGGACUCUGACUACAGUGAUCAGAGUUCAAGUCUCAGUGGGACCU